ACUCGUAGACUCCUACGGGAGGCAGCAGGUGGGGAAAUNUUGCACAAUGGGGCGGAANCCUGAUGCACAACGCCGCGUGCGGGAUGACGGCCUUCGGGUUGUAAACCGCUUUCGCCUGUGACGAAGCGUGAGUGACGGUAAUGGGUAAGAGCACCGGCUAACUACGUGCCAGCAGCCGCGGUGAUACGUAGGGUGCGAGCGUUGUCCGGAUUUAUUGGGCGUAAAGGGCUCGUAGGUGGUUGAUCGCGUCGGAAGUGUAAUCUUGGGGCUUAACCCUGAGCGUGCUUUCGAUACGGGUUGACUUGAGGAAGGUAGGGGAGAAUGGAAUUCCUGGUGGAGCGGUGGAAUGCGCAGAUAUCAGGAGGAACACCAGUGGCGAAGGCGGUUCUCUGGGCCUUUCCUGACGCUGAGGAGCGAAAGCGUGGGGAGCGAACAGGCUUAGAUACCCUGGUAG
rnacentral:rRNA from 1 species